rnacentral:rRNA from 1 species
UACAGAGGGUGCAAGCGUUAAUCGGAAUUACUGGGCGUAAAGCGCGCGUAGGUGGUUCGUUAAGUUGGAUGUGAAAUCCCCGGGCUCAACCUGGGAACUGCAUUCAAAACUGACGAGCUAGAGUAUGGUAGAGGGUGGUGGAAUUCCUCGUGUAGUGUGAACCG